CUGGCGUCAGGAUGAACGCUAGCGACAGGCCUAACACGUGCAAGUCGAGGGGCAGCACAGGAGCAAUCUGAGGUGGCGACCGGCGCACGGGUGAGUAACACGUAUGCAACCUGCCUGUAAGCGGGGAAUAACCCGUUGAAAAGACGGACUAAUACCGCAUAAUACUAAAUUACUGCAUGGUAAUUUAUUUAAACAUUUAUGGCUUACAGAUGGGCAUGCGCAUGAUUAGCUAGUUGGAGAGGUAACGGCUCCCCAAGGCAACGAUCAUUAGGGGUUCUGAGAGGAAGGUCCCCCCACACUGGUACUGAGACACGGACCAGACUCCUACGGGAGGCAGCAGUGAGGAAUAUUGGUCAAUGGACGAGAGUCUGAACCAGCCAAGUCGCGUGCAGGAAGAAUUGUCCUAUGGAUUGUAAACUGCUUUUGCAGGGGAAUAAAGUGCAUCACGUGUGAUGUUUUGUAUGUACUCUGCGAAUAAGGAUCGGCUAACUCCGUGCCAGCCGCGGC
rnacentral:rRNA from 1 species